UAGCUCUACGAAAUCUACCUUUAAAUGCGCUAGAAGUGAAAAGCGUAUGGUUCAUAUGCCAAGAAGAAUCGUUAUAUUUUAUUUCUUAACAAUAAUCUGUCUGUUCCAUAUAUUGAUAAAAAUAUUUUAGAUAGACUUGUCUCGUGUCAAAGAACUGCAUUCCAAACCAAAAUGAUGAACAAAAUAUUGGCUCUGUUUCUGGUGUUGGCUGUUGCUUUAAUGAUGAUCCUCAGCAUAGUGGGGCGUCUAGACUGCAUUAAGGAAUGUGAAUACCCUCAAAAAUGCAUUCAAGGAAGUUGUCAAUAACCGCAAGAGUGGGGAUGAUGAUGUUGACUCUGCAUUAUGGGAAAAGAAUUAUUAUUAUCAGACAUCAUAAUCAAGAACUUAUUUCAACAUAUUGAAUAAAUAAAUGCAACUUUAUGAUUU